CCUACGGGAGGCAGCAGUGAGGAAUAUUGGUCAAUGGACGAGAGUCUGAACCAGCCAAGUAGCGUGAAGGAUGACUGCCCUAUGGGUUGUAAACUUCUUUUAUAUGGGAAUAAUAUGUUCCACGUGUGGGAUUUUGUAUGUACCAUAUGAAUAAGGAUCGGCUAACUCCGUGCCAGCAGCCGCGGUAAUACGGAGGAUCCGACCGUUAUCCGGAUUUAUUGGGUUUAAAGGGAGCGUAGGUGGAUUGUUAAGUCAGUUGUGAAAGUUUGCGGCUCAACCGUAAAAUUGCAGUUGAAACUGGCAGUCUUGAGUACAGUAGAGGUGGGCGGAAUUCGUGGUGUAGCGGUGAAAUGCUUAGAUAUCACGAAGAACUCCGAUUGCGAAGGCAGUUCACUGGACUGCAACUGACACUGAGGCUCGAAAGUGUGGGUAUCAAACAGGAUUAGAUACCCUAGUAGUC
rnacentral:rRNA from 1 species